GAGCGAGCGACGCUGUCGUACGCGGCAGCGCCACAUUGCCUUUGUACGGACAGCCUCUCUGAUCACGUGCCGACAGCUUUCAUCAUCUCUCUCCCACCACACUCUCCUCGCCCUACCGCAGGCACCGUAUUCGUGUCUUAUGUGCGAGCCUUUUGCCUUCGUGGCGCCUCUCUUUUUUUUUUUGUCGCUGACAGGUCGCCAUGGCGGAGGGCCUCAAAGAGUCGUGCAAGAAAAUACUGCAGCGCUUGCAGCAGCAGGAUGUGGCCGAGUUUGGCUGCAUCUUAUGCAGCCAGCACGUGCGAGGGCAAGACGCGCUGAUGCAGCACCUCAUUGCCGAGCACCAGGUGCACUGCCUUCACUUUGACAACGUGGUCGAUCUCCCUCGGCUGCUGGAGCACCUGUCGACACUGCUGCACAGCCAUGUGACUUCUCCUGCGCAGUGGGUGUGCCCCGUCUGCGGUGAGGGCACCGCAUCGGACAGUGCGGAGACCCUGGUUCGCCAUAUGCGCCUGGCUGGGCACCAGCACUGGAACCCGCACACGAUUCCUAGCAUGGCGCCGUGGUGCGUAACGGGCAUCUCUGCGCCCACUGGGCCGGGUAACAAGGCGCUCGCGGCGACGGCUAUGCCAGCCACGUGUGCGCCCUCCUCUCCUGCGCCGCAAGGGCUAGGGCGAGGCGACGCGGAUGAGGAGGUCACCGACUCGGAGUGGAACGAUAUCGAGGACGAGGAGGUGGACGAGGACGAGGACUGGAACUUGGAGUGUGUUUGCCUUUACUGUGACUACAGCGGCGAGGACGUCCUCCAGCACCUCAGGACCCAUCACAACUUCGAUUUCCGCGCCAGUGUGCUGCGGCGACCUGACUUGCACGACGAGUACGACCUGAUUCGUGUGGUGAACAUGGUCAGACGUGCUGUGUGCAGCGACCGCUGCCCGUACGGGGACGAGUGCGACGUUGACGGCAAGCAGAACAAUCGCGCUGCGCUAGAGGCGCACCUUGCACUUCAAAAGGAGCACCGUCUGCCGCGGCGCGUCUCGUCGAGUGACGCCGAUCUGAUCCCGGUCCUGCCCGGGGACGCCUUCAUCUCCAUGCUGGUAACGAGCGGUGAAGGCUUUCUCCAGGCGGAGGAAGAGGAUCCAGACUUCCCGAUGGUGCCCACGGUGCAGGAGCUAGCUGCGGCAGCGUCGCGCGCGCCGCACACGACGAAGUCACUUUCGAGCACCUAGUGCCUACGCCAUUGGCAUCUGUGCGUCGUUUCCGGUCUUUCCGGGGCUCUUGCACUGCUCCUCGCACACGUACCCCUCUCUGCCGGGUUUUCCACGUCUUCCUUUCGUUUCACUACUGCGUAGUCGCGUGUCUGCACUCGGCGAAGUCCGGCGUCGUCAGGUCGAGACGAAGAAGAACACCAACACAGAGGCGUGGCAUACUGGCUCGUGUGCGCAUGUACGCAUUUCUGUUUCGCUCCGCUAGUCGCAGUUGCUGGAGCCUCUGUUGAGUAAUAAAGAUCCUGAACCAACACAGAAAAAAAACCGUUUCAAGAGCAAACGACUACCGAGCGCGAGGCAAGACGGAGGGUGGGACGGACGACGAGGGGUACGGGAGGGGCGUGAUGCCAACCCCGUGGAAGAGGGAGCAUUCCGAGUUUCUCCUGCUCUGCCUCAUCGACGGUGGCCCACCGCACUCACAAGUACGUCAAAUCCAUCUGGGCCGUGUCUCCGGAGGAGACGAACUACACCAUCACGCGCUCUUGAGUGUGUAUUGCGAGGUGCUGACCAGUUGCGCCAACAAGGCUUCUCGGGCAGAGAGAGGAGGUUUGUUGGAUCUCCGGCGUGCGCCCUCUGUUCUAUAUCUGACUUUCUCUCGCUCGCACUAUGCAUAUAUAUCUACGCAUAUACAUGUCUCGAUGCAACAUCUGUGCUGCACAG
rnacentral:misc_RNA from 1 species